CUGUCUUUCCUUCCCAGAAAGGGAUCUGGGGUCCCACCCUACAAGUGACCUCACCAAGGGGCUGUUCUCCACCCUCCAGCCCCUCCCCAGCCCUACCACAGAGCGAGGACCUAGCCCAGCCUAGCUUCUGUCUGUGCUGCAGUUCCUGGAGACAGUCACCAGCCAUGGAAGCCCUUCCAAGUGCUAGGUGCUGGAUGUGCACCGGAGAACAAGUCCCAGUCCCAGCUGUGGAGGACUUACGAGGCAUGUAGGGAAGCUGGAGCUUCUGAAAAAGGCAGAGACCACAGAGCCAUGGAAGUAUCCUCGAGAUGGCUUCUCAAUACAAGAAACGGAAGAAGUUGGCUGAGGCAAUUGGAUCUGUUGCUGGGACUCUGUUUGUUGGUGAGAGCUGGAAGAGGUCCCCAGAGUCACUGCAAUUGUCCUGGUUUCUGCCCUGUUCUUGAGGAGCUAAAGUGGAACGCCAAUGAGACCUCAGGAAGAACUUCCUGAUAGGAGGCUGUGAAACAAGGUUAGUAAACACAGAUUGGAAUUUUGCUUGUGCCCUCAACCUGCUGGGGUUGACUCCCGGCCAUGACCCCACAUACACCAUCCUCUGAACCCCAGAUUCCUCACCAUCA
rnacentral:lncRNA from 13 species